ACCCCUGAGCAAAAUGAAGAUUUUGCGUGAAACGCACUUGCGUUGACGUGUAAAAAGCUGUUAAUUUGUCAUCAAGUUAUCCGCCACGUUGGAUUCCACAUGUACAAGAACUAACGGGAAACAGAAAAAGAAAAAAAUGAAAAAUUAAAGGAAAAUAACAGUCAAACUCACCCAUAAACCAAAAUCCCAAACUGAGAGUAAAAUCUAAAAAUCUCAGUGCCUCCAUCUUCUUGAAAUCUCUUUCUCUCACAUUGCUUGUUCAAGUCCUUGCAUUGCGUCUUUGUAGCUUGUUUUUGGUUGAAAAGCGAGGCGAUAUUGCGUACUGCUUCCUGUUACAGGAUUCUGUAAUGGCUGAGAAGAGAAUACACUUGAGAUGGAAUCAUGGUGGCAUGUUUCAAUUUGAGCCAUAAAUGAGGUAUAUUGGGGGCCAUGUGACUAUGGAACCCAAUAUGGACUCUAACUCGCUUUCAUUAGGGAAUUCCAAGCCACAACCAAGUCUUUUGGGUACAAUAAUGUGUUUAAGAUAUUUGCAAAGUCUAUGAUAGUAGGAGAGACAGAGGUCUUUAGUUGUUCAUACAAGGAUAGUGAUGUGCUUCUUGAGUGUAGUGUCUUGAGUCAUGGUGAAACCCUCCAUUUGUAUGUUGAGCAUGAUGUGGAUGAGCAGAGGAGAUAGAGUUUCGUGGACUUCUUGAGGUAGUUAUUACAAAUCCAGAAGGGGUAAAUGUUGGUGGGGAUGUUAAUAAAGAAGCUGAGUUAGACAAUGUGGGUGUGGGCAAUGAUAUUAAUGAUAAUGUGGUGGAGAUAAUAAAUGCUUCAAGUAGUGAAAAUGUUAGAUUAGAUGGGAUUGAGGAUGAGGCAGGGUAUGUAAUAGAGGAAGAACAUGAGUCAAACAGUGAAGAUAGUUAUGAGAGUGAGUACCUAGAGGAAGUGAAGCUUCAUUUGACGAAGAUUCUGAAGGUGAGGAUGAAGAAGCAGAAGAUCCAAGUGAUAAUGAUGAGGAGUUAAGGCAAGCUAGACAAAGUGUAAGGGCUUACAAGAGAAGAGUUAGGGGUCCUAGACAAGAGGAUUGUGCAAAUUUGGCUCUAGGGGAAGUAGGUGCAGACUUUGGGUUUAGAGGGGAAGAUCAUAUCAAUGGUAGGUACAAGGAAAAAUAGGUAACAAUGAACCCUACUCAAAUGAUCUUGACCCAGACAGUAGAGAAGUGAUUGAUGAUGAGUAGAAUGUUUUCAAUGUGGAGGUCAAUUGUUGUGUUUUGUUUUUAAAGAUGGAAACAAUCAAAUGUUUCCUAUUGCCUAGGCUAUUGUUGAUAUUGAAAACAUAAGGAACUGGCUUUGGUUCAUUUCCACUUUGAAGCAAGAUUUGGAUAUCACCAUAGGGAAGCGAUGGGCAGUUGUGACAGACAUGCAGAAGCUAUGGGGCUUUUAUGAGCCAUUAAUUAGGAGUUACCUGAUGUUGAGCACAGAAUGUAUGCAAGGUAUAUUUGGACAAACUGGGCAAAGAAGUGGAGGGAUGAAGAGAGAAGGAAGAAGUUUUAGGAGGUGGUAAGGGCACCAUUUGAAAUGCUAUUAAAAGAGAAGUUGAAAGAUAUGAGCAAACUUGGAACUAGUAUUGUUGAGAAUUUGUUGUAUUAUAAUACCAAUACUUGGUGUAGGGCACUCUUUAGGACUCAACUCAAUGUGAUGUGGUUGAAAACAACAUGUCUGAGAUAUUUAAUGGGUGGAUUCUCAGUGCCAGACUGAAAUCCAUUAUAACCAUGUGUGAAGAGAUUAAGCAACAGGUGAUGGAGAGGAAUGUGAGAAUGAGAGAAUUUGUAGAGACAUGGAUUUGUGAUAUCUCGCCUGUUGCAAUGGAAAAAUUAGAAUUGCACAAGCUAUUAGUUAUGCAUUAUACACCAAAGUGGAAUAGGGAUAUUGGAUUUGAAAUUGUAGAGGAGAAUACCAACACACUGUGUGUUUGGGUAAAAUGACAUAUAAUUGCAAGUCAUGGGAGCUUAAAGGCAUUCUAUAUCAACAUGCAAUUUGUGCCAUGAACCACAUAAAGUUGAAUCUA